UCGCCUGCAAAAAUGAAGAGUCCGCGCAACUUAGGUACACACACUUUAAUUCCAAUUCAGAGACCAGUUAUGUAAAUAGCUAGGAAAAUUAUGAACUUUCUUCAAAUUUUAGUUGUGACAGUAGGGUACUAAGGUCUCCUCAAUCUCUCAAGCAGUUUGAUUUCACAUCCAUAAAGUUAUUGAACACUAUGUUCUUCCAAUUAGUAUAAAUUCAUGGCUUAUACGAUAAGUGAUUCUUAGAGAUAAUUCUGGUUUAACAAGGUUGACACCAUAAAUAGUUCUCAGGUGUAAUUCUGGUUAAACAGAAAGCAUGAGAAACCCAUCCAUUAUUGCUGCUUUAUGCAAGAGUUCAUAUGGAAUCAGCACUCACUGAGGUUACAUGAUAUUCUUUCAUGAUUUCGAAAGUAGAUAGCAGCAUUUAUGGAUUGGCAGUCUCAUUCAAAAUUAACAACCGUAACAAUCAGCUCAACUUUCAAAAGGAGGAGAAAAUAAGAUGCAGAUGAAUACAUGUGAUGCCCAAAACUCAGAGAAUAGACAAAUAACUGAUGCAGAAUGGGAUGAUUGACUUGUAAAUGUAAUUCAGAUGACACCAACUACAGUUUGAGAUACAAAAAAAAAAACAAUUUAUUUCUA